GGGUUGUGAGGUUAAGCGACUAAGCGUACACGGUGGAUGCCCUGGCAGUCAGAGGCGAUGAAGGACGUGCUAAUCUGCGAUAAGCGUCGGUAAGGUGAUAUGAACCGUUAUAACCGGCGAUUUCCGAAUGGGGAAACCCAGUGUGAUUCGUCACACUAUCAUUAACUGAAUCCAUAGGUUAAUGAGGCGAACCGGGGGAACUGAAACAUCUAAGUACCCCGAGGAAAAGAAAUCAACCGAGAUUCCCCCAGUAGCGGCGAGCGAACGGGGAGCAGCCCAGAGCCUGAAUCAGUGUGUGUGUUAGUGGAAGCGUCUGGAAAGGCGCGCGAUACAGGGUGACAGCCCCGUACACAAAAAUGCACAUGCUGUGAGCUCGAUGAGUAGGGCGGGACACGUGGUAUCCUGUCUGAAUAUGGGGGGACCAUCCUCCAAGGCUAAAUACUCCUGACUGACCGAUAGUGAACCAGUACCGUGAGGGAAAGGCGAAAAGAACCCCGGCGAGGGGAGUGAAAAAGAACCUGAAACCGUGUACGUACAAGCAGUGGGAGCACGCUUAGGCGUGUGACUGCGUACCUUUUGUAUAAUGGGUCAGCGACUUAUAUUCUGUAGCAAGGUUAACCGAAUAGGGGAGCCGAAGGGAAACCGAGUCUUAACUGGGCGUUAAGUUGCAGGGUAUAGACCCGAAACCCGGUGAUCUAGCCAUGGGCAGGUUGAAGGUUGGGUAACACUAACUGGAGGACCGAACCGACUAAUGUUGAAAAAUUAGCGGAUGACUUGUGGCUGGGGGUGAAAGGCCAAUCAAACCGGGAGAUAGCUGGUUCUCCCCGAAAGCUAUUUAGGUAGCGCCUCGUGAAUUCAUCUCCGGGGGUAGAGCACUGUUUCGGCAAGGGGGUCAUCCCGACUUACCAACCCGAUGCAAACUGCGAAUACCGGAGAAUGUUAUCACGGGAGACACACGGCGGGUGCUAACGUCCGUCGUGAAGAGGGAAACAACCCAGACCGCCAGCUAAGGUCCCAAAGUCAUGGUUAAGUGGGAAACGAUGUGGGAAGGCCCAGACAGCCAGGAUGUUGGCUUAGAAGCAGCCAUCAUUUAAAGAAAGCGUAAUAGCUCACUGGUCGAGUCGGCCUGCGCGGAAGAUGUAACGGGGCUAAACCAUGCACCGAAGCUGCGGCAGCGACGCUGAUGCGUUGUUGGGUAGGGGAGCGUUCUGUAAGCCUGUGAAGGUGUGCUGUGAGGCAUGCUGGAGGUAUCAGAAGUGCGAAUGCUGACAUAAGUAACGAUAAAGCGGGUGAAAAGCCCGCUCGCCGGAAGACCAAGGGUUCCUGUCCAACGUUAAUCGGGGCAGGGUGAGUCGACCCCUAAGGCGAGGCCGAAAGGCGUAGUCGAUGGGAAACAGGUUAAUAUUCCUGUACUUGGUGUUACUGCGAAGGGGGGACGGAGAAGGCUAUGUUGGCCGGGCGACGGUUGUCCCGGUUUAAGCGUGUAGGCUGGUUUUCCAGGCAAAUCCGGAAAAUCAAGGCUGAGGCGUGAUGACGAGGCACUACGGUGCUGAAGCAACAAAUGCCCUGCUUCCAGGAAAAGCCUCUAAGCAUCAGGUAACAUCAAAUCGUACCCCAAACCGACACAGGUGGUCAGGUAGAGAAUACCAAGGCGCUUGAGAGAACUCGGGUGAAGGAACUAGGCAAAAUGGUGCCGUAACUUCGGGAGAAGGCACGCUGAUAUGUAGGUGAAGCGACUUGCUCGUGGAGCUGAAAUCAGUCGAAGAUACCAGCUGGCUGCAACUGUUUAUUAAAAACACAGCACUGUGCAAACACGAAAGUGGACGUAUACGGUGUGACGCCUGCCCGGUGCCGGAAGGUUAAUUGAUGGGGUCAGCGCAAGCGAAGCUCUUGAUCGAAGCCCCGGUAAACGGCGGCCGUAACUAUAACGGUCCUAAGGUAGCGAAAUUCCUUGUCGGGUAAGUUCCGACCUGCACGAAUGGCGUAAUGAUGGCCAGGCUGUCUCCACCCGAGACUCAGUGAAAUUGAACUCGCUGUGAAGAUGCAGUGUACCCGCGGCAAGACGGAAAGACCCCGUGAACCUUUACUAUAGCUUGACACUGAACAUUGAGCCUUGAUGUGUAGGAUAGGUGGGAGGCUUUGAAGUGUGGACGCCAGUCUGCAUGGAGCCGACCUUGAAAUACCACCCUUUAAUGUUUGAUGUUCUAACGUUGACCCGUAAUCCGGGUUGCGGACAGUGUCUGGUGGGUAGUUUGACUGGGGCGGUCUCCUCCUAAAGAGUAACGGAGGAGCACGAAGGUUGGCUAAUCCUGGUCGGACAUCAGGAGGUUAGUGCAAUGGCAUAAGCCAGCUUGACUGCGAGCGUGACGGCGCGAGCAGGUGCGAAAGCAGGUCAUAGUGAUCCGGUGGUUCUGAAUGGAAGGGCCAUCGCUCAACGGAUAAAAGGUACUCCGGGGAUAACAGGCUGAUACCGCCCAAGAGUUCAUAUCGACGGCGGUGUUUGGCACCUCGAUGUCGGCUCAUCACAUCCUGGGGCUGAAGUAGGUCCCAAGGGUAUGGCUGUUCGCCAUUUAAAGUGGUACGCGAGCUGGGUUUAGAACGUCGUGAGACAGUUCGGUCCCUAUCUGCCGUGGGCGCUGGAGAACUGAGGGGGGCUGCUCCUAGUACGAGAGGACCGGAGUGGACGCAUCACUGGUGUUCGGGUUGUCAUGCCAAUGGCACUGCCCGGUAGCUAAAUGCGGAAGAGAUAAGUGCUGAAAGCAUCUAAGCACGAAACUUGCCCCGAGAUGAGUUCUCCCUGACUCCUUGAGAGUCCUGAAGGAACGUUGAAGACGACGACGUUGAUAGGCCGGGUGUGUAAGCGCAGCGAUGCGUUGAGCUAACCGGUACUAAUGAACCGUGAGGCUUAACCUUACAACUCCGAAGGGGUUUUG
rnacentral:rRNA from 1 species